ensembl:lncRNA
UACUGAAUAAGGGAAAUGGUGAACAUUAGCUAUUACAUGGAAAACGAAAUGGAGGAGGCGGGUUAGAUGUGAGUAUGGGAAAUUUAGGUUAUAGAAUGUGAAUUCCUCUGCUGUAAAACCUGGCUAUUCUAAUGCGCACAGUGAAGAGGAGGGUGGAAUGUCACAUUUCCCAAGUUUGAUCUCAGAACCCUUUUGCCAAGAAGUAUCUUACGGGACUAGUUACUGUGGAAUACGUUUGAGGACCUGCUACUCUAUUAAGAAAGUAACAUAAUCUAAUAAUUUAUUUGCUAUAUUACACAGGAAAAAUCUACACUCAUCCUACCAAGGCCAGUGGUUUUUAAAUUGGGCCAGCCUUACCCCCAAGCAGUCUACCAGAGCUUUCCAAGGAGUCACAGACUCAAAUAGUUUCAGCGGAUCAAUUUUCAGAUCCUCACCUUCCUAUUUGCACUCUUUCCAAAGAUUCACCAGCCUGAGAAAAAGAGGUCUUUUCUCCACAUUCAGUCUUACAGUAGAGCAGAACUCAAGAUACUAUUUCAAAAUACAGUGUUUGGAAAGCGAAAGCCUCUUAACAGGAUACAAAUCCUCCCACAAUGCUGGUGGUUCCCAAUUCUUUGCUUUCAACUAGACUGAAGGAACACUCCAGAUUUCUGACUAUUUAUUUUAGCAUGUACUUCUGAAGGAGAUGGCUUUACCCUAAGUACUUCUGUUUCCAUCUAUCUGUGUGACAAGAAUCUUCAACAUCUCCCUACAUGAAAUUGAAAAGGGAGAAUAUAACUGACACUGUACCAUGGCCAUUCUAACAAAGAUAAUAGUCACCUACACAGACAUGGAAUAAUCGAAGGUAGAAGCCUUCUUCAACUCAUUAAGUGACACGCUGCCACUGAAAUUUUACUGUAUUUAGUGGUUUAUUAAACUGUGAACUCUGUUUAUUAAACAAGUGCAGUUCAGAAGAAAUUUAAAAUAUGUGGAGCCUUAUAAGUUUAGGAUCCUAUGUAAUUNNNNNNNAGAUAUGCAAUUGAAUAAUAUAAAAGACAUAAAUAAUUCACCUGAAAUUUUGAGGGGGGAAAUAGAAUACAAAUUCAAUGUGUAAAAAGAAAAAAUGCAGCAUUCCCCUCCAUUAAAAAUUGUCUUUUUUGGUGUCAUCUUUUGAAAGGAUGAUAGAGUUUACCACCUAUUACAUCUAGAUCCUCUUGGCUAAAUUUAUGAGGAAAUGUCCAUUUAAUCCAAACAUGCUGUAUCUACCACAGGCCGGCACUUAGAUCCUCUACAACUAUUAAGGAUGAAAAAUUUUAGGUAUCGAUUUAGAAAUGUGUAAGGGGACACACAGGUUUUCAGAAUUCACUUAUGAGGUCUCUGAGCAUAAAAUUUUAAGUUGGGCCACUAAGAACGAGUUAUGUUUGGAAAUAAGAAGGAUGGUGAAAGGGGCUCUAGUUCUUUUAAUUCCCAGAAGGCAUGUAGGUGAACUUUCAACUUAGGUGACAUCCAGCUUUCUGAAGACAACCCUAAAAGCUAUAUUCUUGCCAAAAGGAAGUUAAAUCAUUAGAUCUAGGAAAUGUGUAGGAUUACAAACUGGCAUUUGAAAGCGACUCAGUGACUUGGCUCAGGCUCUUCAGUCACAAAAUACUUCCUUCCUGAAGAGUCAGAUACCACAGUGACCCUGUCUCAGAAAUGCCGUAUUUCUUGUUUUCCAUAGACUUUGCAAAGCUACAUUUGUAAAUGCAUGUUUCAUAUUAAAGUUUAAUUUGUCUUUUAUAUGAAUAGUGGGUGCUUGUGUGUACACAAUCAUGUGAAUGUGUCACACAAAUGCUGGCUCUUGUUAAUGUGAAAAUUAAAUGACUGUAUCAUGUUUUUUAAAAAUAGAAAUGUGGUCUCAUUGGACAUAUCAGUCUUCAGUGAAGACUCAGUUAAUUAUUAGCUGUGAGUACUGACACAUUUUGCCAGUUAAUUUUAAACUGAUUCAGCAAACUUAUUUUACCACAAAGAUGAACAAGAAAUCUGAUCUCUACUUUACGCCACACACAAAAAUCAAGCGUCCGGUUAGAUUACACAUCAAAAUGUAAAACGUAAAACAAAAAAUAAAACAGUACCAAUUCAAGAAAGCAUUCACAACCUCAGAGUAGGGAAAAGUUGUUUCAACAGAAUACCAAAGGCACUACCUGGCAAGGAAGGCAGCUAAACUAGACUCUGCUAGAGCUCACGACUGCUGCUCAGCAAAAGAUACAAGGAGAAUAAUAAGNNNNNNNNNNNNNNNNNNNNNNNNNNNNNNNNNNNNNNNNNNNNNNNNNNNNNNNNNNNNNNNNNNNNNNNNNNNNNNNNNNNNNNNNNNNNNNNNNNNAGCUCACGACUGCUGCUCAGCAAAAGAUACAAGGAGAAUAAUAAGGCAAGACAGUAGAAGAAGAUAUUUGCAAUGAUCUAUCUGACAAAGAACCUCAGUGAAAAUGUGAUUCUACCCCUCCAAGUCACUAAGAUAAUCCAUUAGUGGAAAAGGUGUAUUCCAUGAAUAAGUACCUCCCAAGGGUACAUCCAAAUGACUGAUGAACAAAUGAAAAGAUGCUUACUCAUAAUUUGAGGUUUUAGCAAGACUGUAGAGCAGUUGGCACUUUGGUGGUUGUGUAAAUCGGUACCUAACUAUCAAUGCAUUGUAAAGAUGUUUCAUUCUCUCUUCUAAAGUUAACCAUUUGCAAUUCCACCCCUACAUACAGUUGACNNNNNNUAUCUGCAGGUUCUUCAUCUGUGGAUUCAACCAACCUCAGAUCAUGUACUAUGUUUGCAGUCCACAGCUGGUUGAAUCCACAGAUGUCAAAUCCUUGGAUACAGAGGGCUAGCUAAGGGUCUUAGACAUCCUCAGAUUUUUGUAUCCACAGCAGUUCCUGGAAGUAAUCCCCAUAGAUACUGAAGGAUAACUAUAUACCUACUAGAAAUGCA